CGGACGGGUGAGUAACACGUGGAUAACCUACCUAUAAGACUGGGAUAACUUCGGGAAACCGGAGCUAAUACCGGAUAAUAUAUUGAACCGCAUGGUUCAAUAGUGAAAGACGGUUUUGCUGUCACUUAUAGAUGGAUCCGCGCCGCAUUAGCUAGUUGGUAAGGUAACGGCUUACCAAGGCAACGAUGCGUAGCCGACCUGAGAGGGUGAUCGGCCACACUGGAACUGAGACACGGUCCAGACUCCUACGGGAGGCAGCAGGG
rnacentral:rRNA from 1 species